UGAGUUUUACAAGGUUGAUGUUAUUAGGCAUGAGAAGUUUCAGAAUUUGUCGACUCUCACUGAUUUAUGUCUUCAGCUAGUUGACACAAGUAAGUCGGAACAUUACAGUAUGAUCUACAGGUUGAUCUGUCUUGUGUUGACUCUCCCGGUUUCUACAGCUACCACGGUGGGAGCAUUUUCAGCUAUGAAACUAGUUAAGACCAUUCUUCAAAAUAAAAUGGAAGAUGAGUAUUUGAGAGAUACUAUGGUUCUCAACAUUGAAAGAGAGUAUGCUGAAGAGAUCGAUCCUGAGGGAGUAAUCGACGAAUUCUAUUCUAAAAAAUAUCGACGAGUUCAACUUAAAUAAUGAAUGGAGUCACUUUUCUGCCUUGACUAGACAGCUUUACUCGCUUUUGCAUUGUUGAGGUUUGUUUUUCUUUAGUUUUUUCGCAUUGUUUAGUUUUAUUUAGUGCUUGUACUUGAUAGUUUCUUCACGAAUAUAUUUGUGUAUGACUUUGCAAAAAAAAUUAUGUUAUCCAUAAGUAUUGGGUGGUGAAUUUUUUUA